rnacentral:rRNA from 1 species
CCUACGGGUGGCUGCAGUGAGGAAUAUUGGUCAAUGGGCGCGAGCCUGAACCAGCCAAGUCGCGUGAAGGAUGACUGCCCUACGGGUUGUAAACUUCUUUGAUAAAGGAAUAAAGUGAGGCACGUGUGCCUUUUUGUAUGUGCUUUAUUAAUAAGCAUCGGCUAACUCCGUGCCAGCAUCCGCAGUAAUAUGGAGGAUCCGAGCGUUUUCCGGAUUUAUUGGGUUUAAAGGGAGCGUAGAUGGGUUGAUAAGUCAGUUGUGAAAGUUUGCGGCUCAACCGUAAAAUUGCAAUUGAUACUGGCAGCCUUGAGUACAGUUGAGGUAGGCGGAAUUCGUGGUGUAGCGGUGAAAUGCGUAGAUAUCACGAAGAACUCCGAUUGCGAAGGCAGCCUACUAAACUGCCACUGACAUUGAUGCGCGAAAGUGUGGGUAUCAAACAGGAUUAGAUACCCCAGUAGUC